UGCCUCAGCAGCUCGGUGGCCUCCUCCUGCUUCCCCUGCUUCACCAGCACCAGCAUGUCCUGGAUCAUGCAGAUCCGCCGGUGGUAAGGGGGCAAGCUGCUGCCACCACCCUUCCCAAACUUCUCGCCGGACUUCACCACGAGGGAGGGACCACUCAUCUGCUGCAGGAGACUGGUUGCUCAAGAGAUGCCUGAGAGGAAUAAGCUUUAGACUGAUGAGGCCCCAGCCCCUCUCCCAGUGCCAGGGGCUGUUUUCCAACACAGACAUGCAGCAAACUCUGUGCAUCCAUCCCCACACCUCUGCUGGGCCAGGGCAGAAGGAGACCCAGCGCAGCCAUCACGCUGUGCAGUGCCCGGCCUGGGGGAGCCAUCUCCUGCAGGAAGAUGCUCUGGGAGCAUUUUGCAACUGUGUUAGAAAUAACCCUGAAGCAACACAGGAGAACUUUUUGCCUCCUCUGCAUCCCAUGCAACUGCACAUCCACAAACACACAAAUAUUGUGUUGUGUCAAUGAAUAAACUGCAGCUCUCCUGGAUAGCCAAAUGGAUGGAGGCCCACAUAGUUGUUUCUAAAACUCCAAAAGCCAACUGCUGUAACGCAUUUUUACACAUGGACCACAAGAACAGCGCAGAGCACCACUGACAUCAGUACGGUUUGGCUCUGGUUUACCAUGAGCUUGUGUGAACCAGAGACAGAGCCGGGCUGAGCCACAGUAACCACAGCCCCGAGUAAAUAAAUAAAACCCAACCUUUGCACUUAUGACAUGUCUGUCAUCAGGGCAGAGAGUUUAUCUGCUGCUCCUGAUCAGGCUUAUUUAUAGCGCACAGGACAAAGCCAGCAAAAAAACCCAUAAUAAUAAAGAGUGUGGUGUGUACUCCUGUUACAACAAUGCAAAGCAAUCGCCAAGUGCUGCUGGGUCGGGUUUACACUCCUUGUGAGCGGAUGCAACGGCACCGUGACCACUCAGGGCAGUACAAGAGUCGCCUCCAGGCUCAGUGCUGGUGGCUCAAUGGUACAAGACCUGCAGAUCCCCCAGGAAUGCUCCAUCUUGGGGUGUCACUCAUUUCUACACCCACAAAAGGGUCUCAUCUGCCUACAGACCCAAGCCCAGGGCAGCACUCAGCUUUCACACACACAAAAUUUUCCAUACAGGCUCAAAACACCUGUGUGCAAACCGAGCCCACCCAGUGCCGAAAAACCUGGCCCCAGCACUUGUGUGCUGAGCGGCAGGUCUGUCCCGCAGCUCUCUGACCCGUGAAAUGUUCUGCUAAACUCUUUAGCAGAUCCACAGCCAAUAUGCAUUUUUUUCCCUAGUGCAGAUGUGUGCAAACUGCAAAUUAGUAGAUGUUUGUCUAAGGGAGUUCGCUUUCCCCCAGCUCAGUUCAUACUCCUUAUGAUUUCUAAUAGUAAGGGUGUGUUAGAAACGUCCACUAUUUUAGAAAGAAAUAACUUGAGAUCACAAGACCAUAGAAAAAAGCCCUUCUCCUCUCCCACAAAACUCAGAUUUAAGAACAUUCUGGCUUCUACGUGAAAAUGAGCUUCCUGAUGCAUUAUGCAGAAGCCAGGGAACACCUAUGCCACAAGUCAAUAACCUUAUGGAAUAAACUGGCGUGGAGGAAAUUCAGCAUCAAAUACCUGAAAUCAGAGAUAUGCAGCCACAUUCCCUGACACCCCAGGUGAGGUCCCACCACCAAACUGCUUUGCACGUGCCCGUGCAUUUACAUUUGGUUUCAGCUUAGUCAUAGAUAAAACUGACUCUUGCUUUGGAGGGCAGCACAGGACUUGCUGAUUUUUCUUGAUAAGGAUGGAGUGAUUAGGAUUAAUUUUAAAUGUCAGCAUCAGAUUCAGGUUAGUGCUACUCACUAUGUUGAAAGGACUAGGCUGACUAUAGGAAAUAUUACUUUCAAGAUGGCAUUUAAAGGAAUUCCAGAGUUAACGUGAUUUUUGUCUCUUCCUUAAAAAAACAACAAAAAACCCCCCCAAAAAAAACCAAAACAAAGAACCAGCCUUACCAUAAGACAUCACCAAAUCCAGCAAGAGGAGACAAUUUCUGAGGAAGAAGGCCAAAUUGAAAAAUAUGAUUUUAAAAGAACAAAAGGCUAUCCAUAUCCUAAGCAUGAUUCAAUUCGGCUUUGACAAGGCACAGCAGAGAGACAGGGUUGAAGGGCCUUAUGAAAUGCUGCAAGAUGUAAUUGCAGAUGAACUAAACUCCAGGAUAAAUGGGGCAAUAUAACGAUGAGACAUAUUACAUACACUGAGAGAUGGUUUUAAGGAGAAAUGAAAGAAUCUCACAUAGAAACACUUACGUUUCCUCUGGGCGAUGGACAAAAUCUUCUCAUUUUCACCUUUGAAUUAAUUUGCUGCAUUUAGCCCAAGCUAGAAAAUGCAAGUGAAAAGGAUUUUUAAAAAAUAUCCAUGUCUUCAUCCCCCAAAGCAAGAGAGAACACAACCUGAGCAGCCAGAGAAAUAUCAGCGCAAUAUAGAUGGAAGCACCAUCCUCUUUUUUAAUUAUUAAUAUAUUACACCUUAUUACUUUUAUUAAACUAGAAUAACUGUAUCUUUAAAAGCAUUUUCAGAGGAAAACAACUACAUUUUAAUCAAACCCUAACGCACUUCCAAGCAGUUCUGCUGCAACAGAAGGAAAUUGGGAUUUUUCUUGUAACACCCUUGGCCAAACCAUUUCACUUCCAAAUGCCCCAUUCCCUUGGCAAAGCCAGGCUCGCCAGGUGGCCACCAAAAUGUGGGGACACCCCAUUACCCCACCAGCAGCCAAGGACCAACCUGCUCCCCACCAUGCUUGGGUACCCAAUGUGCGUGGGAAUUGCUGUCAAGAGAUGCUUCUAUAAUCUCACAUUUUUCCAGAUUCAGGUGCUUUCCCCCUCCAGCACCACCUCUCUCUCCUCCCAGAUUUCCCAUGCAAAAUAUGUCCAAGCUCAAACCCUUAACCCUGAGAGAAUAUAAAAAUACUUAAGCUGCCGGAAGCAAUACAUCUUCCCUUCACGUGAUGGCUUCAGCUUUUUUUCCACUCAACAAUCUGGAUGCCGUGUUUAUAGAACCAGAAGACUGUUUACACACUGUCCCAAAGUUGUUUAGCAGGAGGUUAAGGCUGCCAAAUAUUUUUCUGGAGUCAUCCUGAAAACUACCCCCUGUGCUUUCCUUCCAGCAGGAUUAAAAAGGCCUGGACAGUUUUCUGCAACUUUGUUCUGGAGGGAAAAGUUAUUGAGAUGCUUUAGCAGUUAAAAAAGAACUAUCAAUGAGCGUUUUCAUGGAGAAUUAUCCUUUCGCGCUGCUAGGAAAACAGCCAAUUCAUAUAUGGGAUUGGAAGUCAAAUCUCUGUCAAAUCUCAAAUUUUUUCCUGGAUGUUUCUCCUGGAGUCACAUCCCCUCCCAGGCUCCGGUACCUGACCCAUGAUGGGGUGUGAACACCCAGCAGUGCUGGAGGGGUUAAUCCAUCACCAGCCGUGCGGUGCUGGGUGCAUUCACAGCCAUGGAGGGGGUAAAGCAGCCAAAACCAAAGGGAAAGGUGAAACCCCUGUUGGGACCAGCCCUGUGUUGGGGUGAUGCUUUGCCAGGAUCACCCCCAGCCCUCCCGGAGGAGCCGGUCGCACUGCACCGUUUCUACGGCGAAGGAAAAGCGAGCGCAGCGCCUGGUCGGAGCCAAGAGCCACGAGUCGGUUUGACUCAUGCUCCUGAUGCUUUCCAAAUGUUUCCCGGCAUCCAGCUGUGACGUGAAGACGAAUGUUUUGGAGGGGCCGACCCCAUCCGUCCCUGCCACAGCCCAUCUCUGGCCAUGUUUGACCUUGGGAAGGGUGGUCAUCUGUCAUGAUGGGAGUUUAUUAAGUCUGGUUUGCAUGUGCCGAUGUCACUGGAUUAAGCACUUGGGUUAUUUGCUCCAGUUUCUGCUCGGGAUUAGAACCCGUUUGGUGGAGCUGGCCUGGGACGAUGGAUGUGCUGCUGUGAGCACCAGGCUGAGGUGGCUUCUGGGGACAACGUGGGGACACAAACCAGGCUCACUGGCCCAUUUCCCACCAUGGGCACUUCCCAACCAUUACCAAUUCGAAUCGGUGGCUUCAAAACGGAAAGGUUUCUCAUACCACAAGCACCAACACCCCCAGCCACGCGUGUCCCUGAGCUCCUCAGCCCAGCGCUCCUGCUCCCUCCCUGCAUCAGCUGCUGCUCCAGGACGUGGAGUUCAGCACCUGAGAUCAAGUUGCUGCCGUUUGGCAGCUUCAGCCUCAUCAAAUCUCAGUGUCAGACGCAGAAGAGCGAUGCCGGCGAUACCUUUACCAACGUGCACAAUAAACUGCCAGCCAAGCCCAUGGUGCCUUUAGAGAAAGAACAAAAUAACCCCCAUCCACCCAAGCUAAUCGGGCUGAGUAGGAGGAGCUGAACUCGGUGGUUGUUUAUCAGAAGCAAACUGGUUCAAAUCCUAUUUGUGCAAAGCUGCUUAAACCCUCUUGUUUGGAGUCUUUUCGGUUUGCCCGGUGCAGGGCUUGGACGUGUUUGCUGAUAAGGGUCAGGGAAAAGCAACUUUUCAGCUCGGGUUUGAUCAGCCUCAGCACCUGAGGGUUGCGCUUCAUGCGGGUUAGAAAUGUGCAGCUCUCCAGGGUUAAAAUAAUAAAUAAAUGAAAACAAUCUAGGCUCAGUUACCUGCUGCUCAAUAGAGCCUGAAAGGACAAUAAGUGCAGAUGGGAGGGGGAGGGCAACAAAUAAAUCCUCAUAAUUUCA